rnacentral:rRNA from 1 species
CCUACGGGUGACAGCAGUGGGGAAUAUUGCACAAUGGGGGAAACCCUGAUGCAGCGACGCCGCGUGAGUGAAGAAGCGUUUCGGCGCGUAAAGCUCUUUCAGCGGGGAAGAAACACGGUUCGCGAGAGCCUCGGACGGUACCCGACCAAGAAGCGCCGGCUAACUACGUGCCAGCAGCCGCGUUAAUACGUAGGGGUCAAGCGUUAGCCGGAUUCACUGGGUGUAAAGGGAGCGUAGACGGCGAGACAAGUCUGGAGUGAAAGGCCGGGGCCCAACCCCGGGACUGCUCUGGAAACUGGCUGGCUGGAGUACAGGAGAGGUAGGUGGAAUGCGUAGUGUAGCGGUGAAAUGCGUAGAUAUUAGGAGGAACACCAGUGGCGAAGGCGGCUUACUGGACUGUAACUGACGUUGAGGCUCGAAAGCGUGGGGAGCAAACAGGAUUAGAUACCCUUGUAGUC